AGGUAUGUUUCUUCUGUCUAGUGUGUUGAGGGUUUUUAUCAUGAAGGGAGGCUGAAUUUUAUCAAAUUCUUUUCCACAUUUGUUGAGAUGAUCGUAGGGUUUUUGUUUUUUAAUUCUGUCUAUGUGAUGAAUCACAUUUAUUGAUUUACAUAUGUUGAGCCAUCCUUGCAUCUCUGCAAUAGAACCCAGUUGAUCAUAAUGUAUCAUCUUUUUGAUGUACUGUUGGAUUUGGUUUGCUAGUAUUUUGCUGAGGAUUUUUGCAUCUAUAUUCAUCAGAGAUAUUGAUCUGUAGUUUUCUUUUUUAGUUGUGUCCUUACCUGGCUUUAGUAUCAAGAGGAUACUGACUCCAUAGAAUGAAUUAGGGAAGAUUUUCUCCUUCUUGAUAUUUUGGAGCAGUUUCAGUAGGAGUGGUACCAGUCAUUCUUUCUGCAUUAGAUAGAAUUCAGCUGUGAGUUCAUCUAGUUCUGGGAUUUUUAGUUGUUCUUGGGAAGCUUUUUAUUACUGAUUCAAUUUUACUACUUUUUCAAAUUGUUAUGUUCAGGAUUUCUAUUUCUUUCUGGUUUAGUCUUUUGAUAUAAUAGUAUACUUUCUCCAGAAAGUUUGUUUAUGGCUUUUAUUGGAUUUAUUCCUGGCCACUUUAUAGUUUAUGCUGCUAUCGUAAGUAGUAUCAUUUUUAAGAAUUAAAUUUUCUAACUGUGCUUCAGAAUAGAAAUACAAUUAGUAUUUUAUUUAGUUUUUGCAGCUAUAGCCUUUUUAGAACUCUUUCAUUCUAAUAAUUUGAUGAUUCCUUUGGGUUUUCUGUAUAUAAAUAAUGACCACUUGGGGUCUUCUGCAAUCCUUUUAGCUUUUGUUUAGUUUUUUUCCCCUGUACUAGUUAGGACCUCUAGUAUGCUGAAUAGAAAUGGUGAUAGCAAGCGUCUUUGUCUUGUUUCUGUCCUUAAGGAAAAUACUUUCAACAUUUUCUUGUCAAAUUAAGAUGUUUGUUAUGUGGCUUUAUAUACAAUUGCUCUUAGACACUAAGUUUGUUAUGAGCUUUUAGCAAAAAUUUUAAAUUUUACCUAAUUUAUCUUUUUCUAUCUAAUGCUUUUUCUGUAUUUAUUGACAUGGCAAAUGAUUGUUUUCUGUUCCUUAACCUGUCAAUGCAGUGAAUAAGAGUACUCAACUUUCAAUCAAUGAAUCAAAUUUGUGUUAUUGGUACAAACCUUACUUGGUCAAGAUAUACGUAUUCUUUUUCUUUCUGAGACAGGAUCUCUGUUGCAGGCUGGAAUGCAGUGGCACAAUUUUGGCUCACUGCAACCUCCACCUCGUAGAUUCAAGUGAUUUUCUUGCCUCGGCCUCCCAAGUAGCUGGGAUUACAGGCAUGCACCACCAUGCCUGGCUAAUUUAUUUAUUUAUUUAUUAUUAUACUUUAAGUUUUAGGGUACAUGUGCACGAUGUGCAGGUUAGUUACAUAUGUAUACAUGUGCUAUGCCGGUGUGCUGCACCCACCAACCCGUCAACUAGCAUUAGGUAUAUCUCCCAAUGCUGUCCCUCCCCCCCACACCCCACAACAGUCCCCAGAGUGUGAUGUUCCCUUCCUGUGUCCAUGUGUUCCCAUUGUUCAAUUCCCACCUAUGAGUGAGAAUAUGUGGUGUUUGGUUUUUUGUUAUUGCGAUAGUUUACUGAGAAUGAUGAUUCCCAAUUUCAUCCAUGUCCCUACAAAGGACAUGAACUCAUCAUUUUUUAUGGCUGCAUAGUAUUCCAUGGUGUAUAUGUACCACAUUUUCUUAAUCCAGUCUAUCAUUGUUGGACAUUUGGGUUGGUUCCAAGUCUUUGCUAUUGUGAAUAGUGCCGCAAUAAACGUAUGUGUGCACGUGUCUUUAUAGCAGCAUGAUUUAUAGUCCUUUGGGUAUAUACCCAGUAAUGGGAUGGCUGGGUCAAAUGGUAUUUCUAGUUCUAGAUCCCUGAGGAAUUGCCACACUGACUUCCACAAUGGUUGAACUAGUUUACAGUCCCACCAACAGUGUAAAAGUGUUCCUAUUUCUCCACAUCCUCUCCAGCACCUGUUGUUUCCUGACUUUUUAAUGAUUGCCAUUCUAACUGGUGUGAGAUGGUAUCUCAUUGUGGUUUUGAUUUGCAUUUCUCUGAUGGCCAGUGAUGAUGAGCAUUUUUUCAUGUGUUUUUUGGCUGCAUAAAUGUCUUCUUUUGAGAAGUGUCUGUUCAUGUCCUUCACCCACUUUUUGAUGGGGUUGUUUGUUUUUUUCUUGUAAAUUUGUUUGAGUUCAUUGUAGAUUCUGGAUAUUAGCCCUUUGUCAGAUUAGUAGGUUGCGAAGAUUUUCUCCCAUUUUGUGGGUUGCCUGUUCACUCUGAUGGUAGUUUCUUUUGCUGUGCAGAAGCUCUUUAGUUUAAUGAGAUCCCAUUUGUCAAUUUUGUCUUUUGUUGCCAUUGCUUUUUGUGUUUUAGACAUGAAGUCCUUGCCCAUGCCUAUGUCCUGAAUGGUAAUGCCUAGGUUUUCUUCUAGGGUUUUUAUGGUUUUAGGUCUAACGUUUAAGUCUUUAAUCCAUCUCGAAUUGAUUUUUGUAUAAGAUGUAAGGAAGGGAUCCAGUUUCAGCUUUCUACAUAUGGCUAGCCAUGUUUCCCAGCACCAUUUAUUAAAUAGGGAAUCCUUUCCCCAUUGCUUGUUUUUCACAGGUUUGUCAAAGAUCAGAUAGUUGUAGAUAUACAGCAUUAUUUCUGAGGGCUCUGUUCUGUUCCAUUGAUCUAUAUCUCUGUUUUGGUACCAGUACCAUGCUGUUUUGGUUACUGUAGCCUUGUAGUAUAGUUUGAAGUCAGGUAGCAUGAUGCCUCCAAGCUUUGUUCUUUUGGCUUAGGAUUGACUUGGCAAUGCAGGCUCUUUUUUGGUUCCACGUGAACUUUAAAGUAGUUUUUUCCAAUUCUGUGAAGAAAGUCAUUGGUAGCUUGAUGGGGAUGUCAUUGAAUCUAUAAAUUACCUUGGGUAGUAUGGCCAUUUUCACGAUAUUAAUUCUUCCUACCCAUCAGCAUGGAAUGUUCUUCCAUUUGUUUCUAUCCUCUUUUGUUUCAUUGAGCAGUGGUUUGUUGUUCUCCUUGAAGAGGUCCUUCACAUCCCUUGUAAGUUGGAUUCCUAGGUAUUUUAUUCUCUUUGAAGCAAUUGUGAAUGGGAGUUCACUCCUGAUUUGGCUCUCUGUUUGUCUGUUAUUGGUGUAUAAGAAUGCUUGUGAUUUUUGUACGUUGAUUUUGUAUCCUGAGACUUUGCUGAAGUUGCUUAUCAGCUUAAGGAGAUUUUGGGCUGAGACAAUGGGGUUUUCUAGAUAAACAAUCAUGUCAUCUGCAAACAGGGACAAUUUGACUUCCUCUUUUCCUAAUUGAAUACCCUUUAUUUCCUUCUCCUGCCUGAAUUCCCUGGCCAGAACUUCCAACACUAUGUUGAAUAGGAGUGGUGAGAGAGGGCAUCCCUGUCUUGUGCCAGUUUUCAAAGGGAAUGCUUCCAGUUUUUGCCCAUUCAGUAUGAUAUUGGCUGUGGGUUUGUCAUAGAUAGCUCUGAUUAUUUUGAGAUACGUCCCAUCAAUACCUAAUUUAUUGAGAGUUUUUAGCAUGAAGGGUUGUUGAAUUUUGUCAAAGGCCUUUUCUGCAUCUAUUGAGAUAAUCAUGUGGUUUUUGUCUUUGGCUCUGUUUAUAUGCUGGAUUACAUUUAUUGAUUUGUGUAUAUUGAACCAGCCUUGCAUCCCAGGGAUGAAGCCCACUUGAUCAUGGUGGAUAAGCUUUUUGAUGUGCUCCUGGAUUCGGUUUGCCAGUAUUUUAUUGAGGAUUUUUGCAUCAAUGUUCAUCAAGGAUAUUGGUCUAAAAUUCUCUUUUUUGAUUGUGUCUCUGCCCGGCUUUGGUAUCAGGAUGAUGCUGGCCUCAUAAAAUGAGUUAGGGAGGAUUCACUCUUUUUCUGUUGAUUGGAAUAGUUUCAGAAGGAAUUGUACCAGUUCCUCCUUGUACCUCUGGUAGAAUUUGGCUGUGAAUCCAUCUGGUCCUGGACUCUUUUUGGUUGUUAAACUAUUAAUUAUUGCCACAAUUUCAGCUCCUUUUAUUGGUCUAUUCAGAGAUUCGACUUCUUCCUGGUUUAGUCUUGGGAGAGUGUAUGUGUCGAGGAAUUUAUCCAUUUCUUCUAGAUUUUCUAGUUUAUUUGCGUAGAAGUGUUUGUAGUAAUCUCUGAUGGUAGUUUGUAUUUCUGUGGGAUCGGUGGUGAUAUCCCCUUUAUCAUUUUUUAUGGCAUCUAUUUGUUUCUUCUAGAGAUGGGGUUUCACGCCAUGUUGCCCCAGGCUGGUCUUGAACUCUUGACCUCAAGUGAUUCACCUUCCUCAGCUGCCCAAAGUGCUGGAAUUACAGGCGUGAGCCACUGCACCCGGCCUAGGUUAUAUAUAUUCUUAUACACUGCUGUAUUCAUUUAACUAGGUUUAUGUGUGUGUGGGUGACAAGUGAUUUUAGUUUAGUUUUUAUUGCUUAGUGUAUUCUAGUUUGGUUUUGGUAUCAAAUGUAAGCUUGCCUCAUACAAUGAGUAAAGAGUGUUUCCUCUGUGUGAUUAUUUGAAGAGUUUAUAUGAAAUUGUCUUCUCUUUUUUUUUGGUAGAAUUUACCUGUAAAGUCAUCAGUACUGCACAUUUUGUUAAUAGAAAGGUUAACUACUGAUUUAAAUUCUUUGAUGUUUAUUGGUUUGAAUCAUUCAAUUUUUCUCUUGAGUCAGUUUUAAUAUUUUGUAUUUUUAUAGUAAUUUAUCCAUUUCAUUUACAUUUUCAAAUUUUCUCCUCUAAACUAUUAGUAAUACAUGACCAUAACAUCCUCUCAUUUUUCUUUUUGUGGGAGCCUGUCUCUCCAUCAAGCCAAGAAUCUCCUUUAAUGAUAUCUAGGACAGGUUGUUCCUCCUCGUCUGUCAGUGACCCAUCAGCCUGUUGAGUACUGGGGAAGCACAGUGCCUGUUACUGGCAAGUUUACUGCCUUCAUUCUUUCUAAUCUUGAUCUUUUAUGCUGAAGUGUUAGUUUAUCUAUUCUCAGAAGACAUUUGGACAAAAAUGCUAUUUUUAAUUUCAAAUGAAAAUUAUGUUGUUAGAAUUAGUCUCUGUAUAAAUCAGAGUCACAUUUUAAAUUUUCCUAGGACUUGGUUGGUUUUCUCAGCACACUCUCAGCUCCUGGCAGGUUUGCAUAGAGCAGGCAACAAUGGGAAAGUGCUCACAGAAAAUUUUGCAUCUAUAAGUGGAUAGGGAGGUGAUGGAAUAGGGCAUAUGUGGGAAGAUACAGGAAAAGGAAAACUGUUCUUACUCCUUACCCGCCCCCCCCAUAGGAGAUGGUGCUGUACAGCGGGAAAGAGAAUUGGAUUAUAGUUUUCUGCUCCCUAAUUGUAACUUUCUUUUUCAUUUAUUUCAGGAAGUUAUAUAUACAAUGGUGUAAAAUUGAAAAGUUAUUAAAAACUAUACAGAGAAAAAACUUCAUUUUCACGCCUGACCUCUACUUCCCUUACUGGAGUAACGACUCCAUUUUAUUGUUUUCUUCCGGAGAUAUUCUAUCUAUAUAAGCAUAGUGGUAUAUUGCUUAAAAAUACACAAAUAACACUGCCUGUGUGAUUUUAGGAAAAUCUCUUGAACUUCAUUAUUAACUUCUUUAAAUUCCUAGAUGAAAAUACUUACACAAACCUGGAAAAACUCAGUGAUUUUGUAGAAAUCAAUCAAGUAGUGUUUGUGAACAUGUUUGGAAAAUCAUCAGUUAUUUUAUAAGUUUGAGAUGGAGGGAGGGUAGUCAUGAAAGUUUUACUUUUCUACACAAAAGACAAUGAGUCACAUGGGAUCUGACUUGACAAGAGUGAUUCUGAAUUGGCAGCCUGGCUGUGUGUCAGCAGCCCCCUGGCUAAUUCCUCUCAUAGUGUGUUGGGGUUUUCUUCAUGGCUAAUGAGGAGAUCUAUUCGCUUGAGAUAGGAAGUGGAAGCUUGCCAGAGUGUGAGACACCUCACUUUCCUCCCUCCCUCCUUCCCUUUGCCCUUCCUCACGUUUAGGGAGUUAGUAUUGGAACUUUGGCUGAUGCAACAGUUUGAGUCACUGUCUCUCUGUGCUGUGGGAUCCACUCACUUUUAAUGGGGAGUUGAUGGAAUCACUCCUCCCUCCCCCACCCUGACUUCCUCCUCUAAUUGGCUCUCAGGGGACUCCAACUCCUGCUAAUCAACCAUGGCAGAGCUGCUGCAGAGAGCCCGAAACUGGCACUCAGGGACCUAGGUUCUGUUGUGACUCUGCUCCUUCAACUUUCUUUUCUAAUCUGUUAAAACAACUUUGCCUUUGGAUUAGGCCUGGGAGAAUGGGGUUCCUUUGGGCAUUGCCUUUGCAGAGACAGUUUUAAUAAUGCCAGCAUCUUCUAGACUUUGCCAACUAUUGUGUUCAGCUUGAAUCUUUUUAUUCAUGGUGGCAGAGAGGGGAAAAGAUUAGGUAUCUGUUUCAUGUGUCCACAGUGGGGGAGGCAAAUGAUAGGAGAAAAGAGAAGAUGAAAGAGCAUAUCAUUUGAGGAAUGUGAGCCUCAACAUAUUGGUCCACAUACUGCUUCUCUAUUAGCAAAAGGCCUUGUGGAAAACUUACCUUGUCUGCUUCUGUUUGUCACUGCCCAGAGGAAAGUAAACCUAGUUGUGCAGCUUUGGCCAAUAUUAUUAUUGGGUUACAUUUAAAAAAGUUAUUUUAAAAAUAGGCUUUGUCUUUUAAAGCAGUUUCAGGUUCACAGCAAUAUUGAAUAGAAAGUACAGAGGGUUUCUAUAUACCUCUUCACCAACCUUAUGCCCAACCUUCCCCAUUAUCAAUGUCCCAUCCCAGAGUGGUACACUUCCUAUAAUUCAUGAGCCUACAUUGACACAUCCUUAUCACUCCAAGUCCAUGGUUUAUAUUGGAGUUCACUCUUAGUGUUGUACAUUUUAUGGGUUUUGACAAAUGUAUACUGACAUGUAUUUAUUAAACUAUCAUACAGAAUCGUUUCAUUGCUGUACAAUCCUAUGUGUUCUACCUGUGUGUCCUUAUCUCCCCUCCUCCCUCACCCCUGGAAACCACUAUCUUUUUUCAUUUUUUAAUUAAAAAUUUUUUUUUCUUAUGCCUCCCAGGGCUUCCUUGCUAGAAACCACUAUCUUUUUACUGUUUCUAUACUUUUGCCUUUUUCAGAAUGUCAUAAAAUUGGAAUCAGAGUAUGUACCUUUUCAGGUUGACUCCUUACUCCAUGGAUUACCUUUCAAAAUGGACAUUUAAAAAUAAUUUUAGAAUGAUACUAAAGCUACAAUAGAGGGAUCUGAUCCAGUGUACAACAUUUCAUUUAGAUGUCAUGUCUCUCCAUCCGAGUCUGUGAAAGUUUCUGUCUUUUCUUGUUUUUUUUAUGACCUUGACAGUCCAGAGGAGUAUUGUGUAGAAUGAUCCCCAUUCAGGGUUUGAUGUUUUUCUGCAUGAUUAGACUGUAGUAAUGGAUUUUGGGGAAACAGACCAUGCAGAUGAAGUGCCUUUCUCAAUACAUCUGUAUUAGUCAAUUUUCGCACUGCUAUAAAGAAAUACCUGGGACUGCAUAAUUUAUAAAUAAAAGAGGUUUAAUUGGC